CUGGAACGCGCUUCGGCGCACCCAGAAACCCUUUGUGAACUUAUACCUAUUGUUGCCUCGGCGCAGGCCGGCCUUUUGUGACAAAAGGCCCCCCGGAGACGGGGAGCAGCCCGCCGGCGGCCAGCUAAACUCUUGUUUCUACAGUGAAUCUCUGAGUAAAAAACAUAAAUGAAUCAAAACUUUCAACAACGGAUCUCUUGGUUCUGGCAUCGAUGAAGAACGCAGCGAAAUGCGAUAAGUAAUGUGAAUUGCAGAAUUCAGUGAAUCAUCGAAUCUUUGAACGCACAUUGCGCCCUCUGGUAUUCCGGAGGGCAUGCCUGUUCGAGCGUCAUUUCAACCCUCAAGCCUGGCUUGGUGAUGGGGCACUGCUUUUGUGACGAAAGCAGGCCCUGAAAUCUAGUGGCGAGCUCGCCAGGACCCCGAGCGUAGUAGUUAUAUCUCGCUCUGGAAGGCCCUGGCGGUGCCCUGCCGUUAAACCCCCAACUUCUGAAAAU
rnacentral:rRNA from 1 species